AACAGGAAAUUGAACAAUGGCAAAGAUAAUCUGCUACCAUAAAGAAUGCCACAGGUCCUUGAGGAAAGGAUGAGGAAGGUACUGACUGGGGAAUACCCUCCACCCAGGCUAGAAUGGUUUAUUCUUCCCAAUGCUAAGCCUAUAAUCAAAAGGAAUAUUUUGCUAGCCUAAAAGGGGGUGGAGGGUGAGUAGCUGAGGGCUGCCCAGGAAGCAUCAGUGAGCACUGUGAGGGAUGAAAGGAGACCCGGAGAGAGAGACAAGUACUACAGGAAGCAGGCUGGCUCUCCCAACCCAGAUAUGGGAAUAAGAUGGCCCUACCUGAGCUAUGGAUGAAAAGGUUACGCUCAGAUAGGCCUGAACCAAAACCCUAGAUCCAGAAACCACCACAGGAAAUGGGAGCUUGAAAUCCAUAUCCAAAUUUUGCCUCUGAGGUUCAUCGCUAAUUUCCAUAUAAGGAAGCACUCUUCGACUCUGGAAGGAACCAGAAUUCUGACACUGCAAGGGAUGACUUUGCCUCCUUGGACCCAUAUCAGGCCUUGGAAAGGUGGCUGCUGAUAUUUUUGACAAUUUAGUCCACUACCUGGACACUCUUGAGGACAGUAUUAUCCUGCAAACAUGUGCAUGCAUUGGGGAUUAUGUUACCAUAAUUUAUGGAAUUGUCUUUUUAUUGUUCUUAUACUUUUUUCCAGAUCUGAAUCCAACCAUAUUUGGGGGGGGGGAGGAUGAGAAAGAGGGUUUGACUCAAGUAAUUUCUGCAACAGACCACUUUAACCAUCCUAUAACUGUAAGCAUCCUGUAAUCAUCUCAGCUGAAGGUCUUGUCUACACACAAAGGUUGUACUGUUGUAACUUGCCUGGAAUAGUUAAAGCGGUAAUGGGUUUUGCUUUGUGUGACUGAAGUUUGCUUUGGGAUCUUUUUCAGUGUUUAAUAUUAUACAAAUCAGAAUGCUCAAAACAUCAUAUGAGAACAGGCACAAAUGAAAACUAUAAAAAGGAACGUAUGUUAAAGACGACAAGAACCCACCUUUUAACUCUUCUGACAUACAUUUGACGGAGUGUGGAAAUGGAUAAAUGUUUUGCAAAAAUAGGAAGUGUCCAGCUUUAGUAAGAGUCCUGGGUGAUUUACAGAGCAGUCUAGGGGAUUUAGAUAUCUUUUCCACUAAAAUUAAAGAAAGAUGUGUGUCUCAAUCCUGUAGACUGCUUUGAGAAUCUCAACAUAUUUGUCUCUGAUGCAUGUACGUUUGUAUGCAAUUGCCAGCUUUACCUUAUUCUGAAUGGCUAUCAAGAUAAGUUAAAGCAGACAAAUGCAUAAAAAGCCCUAUAUACACUGAUUUUGGCAGCAGGAUUGGUGGGAUAUAUACUUUAAAAAACUCUUAGCAGUUCCAUAUGUUCUAAUUUAUGGACAUUUUUCAGAUAGAAAUCUACAUUAUCCAUUUGCAGGCAGAUCUUAGAAGCAUACAAUUAAAUCAACUGAACCAACUAAUUAAAAAAAACCCCUCAAACCCUAAAUAAUAAAUACAAAUCUAAUGAUGACAAUAAUGAAGCUUAACCAGACUUUUCUCUGCUAAUAACUGCCCCCUCCAUCUAUCCUGCUGCCAAGGUGAGGCUAUGCAUUGCUUUUCUGCCUGAUAAGUGCCAAUUGCACAUUGGUGCUUCCCUAGAGAUAUUCACUUUCCACACCAGAAUUUUUUCCAGGCAUAUUCCCUUUCUGAUUCUCCUUUGGAGAAUAUCUGCUGUGGGUUCACUCCCUGAGCAGAAACGGUCAAACAGAUGUUCUCUGUGGGCUAUGGAUCAUGUCUUUCAAAGAUGUUUUGUACAUGCAGCAGUUUUCAGAAGGUGUUGUCUACAAUUUUCUAUAUUUCUGAAUAGUCGGCUGCUAUUUAACCUCUGUUUUCUCUGAUUCAAUGUGUUGUUCUUUCUUUUUUAACCAUAUAGAUAAAAUGAUUGUGAAAUAUCUUUAUAUAAAAUCAUAGCUUUAUUUCAUUAGCACACCUCCUGAUGAUUUUAUAGUGGAUGCUGCUAUAUGCAAGUGCAUUUUCUGAAUGAAAACUCAGUCAAAAGAGAUCUGAAAAACAGUGGCCUAAAACUUUCUAAUUUACAAACAUCUGAGGGUUAACACUCUAUACUAAGUGCAAUAUGCAAAGCUAUUAAUUUUUUUUUAGGGAGAAUUAUAGCAAAAUAGAAAUACAUUAGUAUAAAAUGAAUUACUCUUGCUCUCUGCUUGUGAGAACAACAGUAAGACUUAUUUUAUUAAUGAAGUGCAACCCCUUCAGCAAAUGGGGUAUUUUCCUGUGAUUCAUAAUAAAUAUAUACACCAUUACAAUAAUGUUGUGCUUAAAUUAAAAACAAAAACAAAAAAGCACCACCACCCUCUAAACUAAAAACCAGAUAAAUAAAUAGAAGGGGUUCUAUUUGCAAGG